AGAGAGAGAGAGAGAGAGAGAGAGAGAGAGAGAGAGAGAGAGAUAGCGCACGCCUCCAGAAUUUGUGUGUAUCUCAAAUGUGUAGUUCCACUCUGGCCACUUUCCACAGUGUGACAACAGCAGAAAACUCUCCAUCUCCACUUAUUCUGUUGUUGUAAUAUGGUGUGGUCAGAGUCUUCCCUGUCACCUCUUCCCCAGUACUCACCCAGUGAGAGCAAGUAUCCACCUCACUGGCCGCCUCCCUCUAGCAUUCCUUCACUUCAUUCAUACAAACUUGCCCAGAGUAGUAAAAAUGAUCAGACAACUUCCUCCAAAGAUCACAUUCCAAAAUCUUGGUCUUUGUGGAACUCCUCAUAAAAAGCAGUUUAUUAGUCCAAAUGCCAAUAAUUCAUUUCACAUGAAAUUCACUGGAAUUUGUGGCACCAUUAUUUGGAGAAACCAUAAACAUUUACAGACUCAUUCACUUUCAUUGUUACCAUUUGUCCACACCACCUUACUGUAUUUCAGAUUAUUACAGCAAAACAGAUGAUGAUGUCCUGAACUAUUCUCUCAAAGCCCCCAUCCCACUCCACACAUCACUACUCUGUGCAGGACAAAAGUUGCUGAGGUCAUGGAAUAUCAUCCUGACCUCUUGUCGUCUUCUGGAGAUAUUCUGCCGCUCCUGAAGAAUAUGUGGCACUUGACGCACCUCGCAUAACUCACUGCUUCCUUGCCAUACAUGUGCUAAAUCAUAUCAAAGGUCUCUGCUGGAUCUGAUACACAAUUUGGUGUUAAUUCUGCUCUUAUUUGCAAUUCAUGAUGAAAUAUGAAGUUCAGCAUGAGGCCACAAAACUCAUGUGACAUGGCUCACAAAGUUCACAGAAAGACACCAACUGGCAGACUGCUUGAUAACUGCCACUGUCCAGUCCCAUCGGACAUGCAUCCCUGUACAGCCACCUGUUGGUGUACUAUGGAACUAGUCUUGGGGCUUUGAUACCACCUCACACUUAAGUUUAUCCUUCAAUCCCAACAUGUCAGUGGUAGAUGAGGUAAUUUCAUUCUUGUGUAUAGAUUCCUUUAGUUAUAAGGAAUAUGUAUUAUGUUGCUGAGACACUCAUUCUGUGCCUCUCUGAGAUGAAUAAUGUAUAAUAAAAGCUAAGCUAAGCAACAA